UUGACAAAUGUUUCGAAGCUGCAUGAAUCGUGAUUGGAAAGCGGCCAUCAGUGAUUCCCAGUGCCACCGCUGGAGGCAGUAAUGCGCUGCUGAGGCUCUGGCAGAAAGCCUGAAACAAACACAGAAGAAGACUCAUUCCGUCCAUGUGCGCUUUGAGCAGCGCGAGGCUCGAGGAUUGGCAGCAACAAGAUUAAUCCAACUAAAAGACUGAAGCUUUGAACUGCCCCAAUGAUUAAACACACUACCCAUCUGACCCUGCACUCAGGGGAAGGAUUAUUUACUCUUAUAUGAGGACAAAGACCGGAGACACGUGGAGGAGUCAUCUGCUUGCGUGCUUCAUUGUGAAUAAUGUGAUCUGGUGAAGAAGUUGUCCUUGUUUGAGUCUGUUAUGGUGUGAGACUUACAUGUUGUACUUCUGUUCUGUGGAAUCCAAUAAAUGUGGUUUUAUACAGUCUUUCUGUAAUUGGGUGACUCCGAUGCUUCAUGCAGUCAUAGGAAAACCUGAAAAUAUUGUCUAGUUUUAAAGUAAUAAUAAUAAAACACACAAUAAAGAUAUUCUGGCUGAAGUUACGUUCAUGUUGUAGGUUAUGUUGUGAAUCUUUGUUUUCAGAAAACCAUGAGUUUGCGCGCUAAAUAUGAAUUUAGGCAUCACAACAUUGUGUAAGUGUUUAUAAAUAUAAAAUUAGACUAUAAGUACUACAGUAACAAAGGCGGGACCCAUG